UGGCCAACUGCCCCCUUUAAUUCCCCAUAUUCAAGAUGAUAAGUUGGCCGCUGUCACUAAUGGGGAACUUGUUCAGUCCUUACAGGCUCUCCAGCCCUUUCUGCACUCAAUCCACCACUUGUUUCGGGGCCACCAGACCAUUCCCAAAAGGCCUGGUGACCCCUUAGCAGCAAUCUGGCAGCAAUCUGGCAAUCACAUCUACAUAAAUGGAAAGGACCCUAUCACAUAGCCAUCAAGGUCACCAGAAAGAGCCAUUGGAUUCAUCACUCCUAGUCAAGCCUGCAAGACCAGAGAUUCCAGUUCCGUCAGUGGCAACACCAAUGACUGUGUGCAACAAAGAGCCGAACAACACCCGAGGCUCUUGGGGGGACCCAGAGCGGCAUCUUC
rnacentral:lncRNA from 1 species